rnacentral:rRNA from 1 species
GUGGGGAAUAUUGGGCAAUGGAGGCAACUCUGACGCAGCCAUGCCGCGUGCAGGAAGAAGGCGCUACGCGUUGUAAACUGCUUUUAACCGGGAAGAAACCCCAGGACGUGUCCUGGGUUGACGGUACCGGAGGAAUAAGCACCGGCUAACUUCGUGCCAGCAGCCGCGGUAAUACGAAGGGUGCAAGCGUUAUCCGGAUUCAUUGGGUUUAAAGGGUGCGUAGGCGGAGCGUUAAGUCAGUGGUGAAAUCCUGCAGCUUAACUGUAGACUUGCCAUUGAUACUGGCGCUCUUGAGUGCGCUUGAAGUGGGCGGAAUGUGCCGUGUAGCGGUGAAAUGCUUAGAUAUGGCACAGAACACCAAUUGCGAAGGCAGCUCACUAAGGCGAUACUGACGCUGAGGCACGAAAGCGUGGGGAUCGAACAGGAUUAGAUACCCUAGUAGUCC